rnacentral:rRNA from 1 species
GGAAUUUUGGACAAUGGGCGCAAGCCUGAUCCAGCAAUGCCGCGUGAGUGAAGAAGGCCUUCGGGUUGUAAAGCUCUUUUGUCAGGGAAGAAACGGUGAUCUCUAAUAUAGAUUGCUAAUGACGGUACCUGAAGAAUAAGCACCGGCUAACUACGUGCCAGCAGCCGCGGUAAUACGUAGGGUGCAAGCGUUAAUCGGAAUUACUGGGCGUAAAGCGUGCGCAGGCGGUUUUGUAAGACUGUCGUGAAAUCCCCGGGCUCAACCUGGGAAUGGCGAUGGUGACUGCAAGGCUAGAGUUUGGCAGAGGGGGGUAGAAUUCCACGUGUAGCAGUGAAAUGCGUAGAUAUGUGGAGGAACACCGAUGGCGAAGGCAGCCCCCUGGGUCAAAACUGACGCUCAUGCACGAAAGCGUGGGGAGCAAACAGGAUUAGAUACCCGAG